rnacentral:lncRNA from 1 species
GGCUUGUUUGAGUUUUUCUCGGAUUUAACUUAAAUACUUGCAAAAUCUUGUGAUUUUGUACUUCAAGAGAGCAUUUAUAGUCACCAUUUAUCCUUAAGAACAUCUUAGAGUUGGUUUAGAACUAUUAGAGAGUGUUUAAUGUGCACUAAAUGCAUCAAAAAUGGACUGAAAACUAGCCAUUACGAACUCGCCCAGAAUGGAUCGUCCC